rnacentral:rRNA from 1 species
AUACAUGCAAGUCGAGCGGACAGAUGGGAGCUUGCUCCCUGAUGUUAGCGGCGGACGGGUGAAUAACACGUGGGUAACCUGCCCGUAAGACUGGGAUAACUCCGGGAAACCGGGGCUAAUACCGGAUGGUUGUUUGAACCGCAUGGUUCAAACAUAAAAGGUGGCUUCGGCUACCACUUACAGAUGGACCCGCGGCGCAUUAGCUAGUUGGUGAGGUAACGGCUCACCAAGGCAACGAUGCGUAGCCGACCUGAGAGGGUGAUCGGCCACACUGGGACUGAGACACGGCCCAGACUCCUACGGGAGGCAGCAGUAGGGAAUCUUCCGCAAUGGACGAAAGUCUGACGGAGCAACGCCGCGUGAGUGAUGAAGGUUUUCGGAUCGUAAAGCUCUGUUGUUAGGGAAGAACAAGUACCGUUCGAAUAGGGCGGGACCCUCACGGUACCUAACCAGAAAACCACGGCUAACUACCUGCCAGCAGCCGCCGUAAUACGUAGGUGGCAAGCGUUCUCCGGAAUUAAUGCGCAUACAAGGACUCGCCAGGCGGUUUCUUAAGUCUGAUGUGAAAGCCCCCGGCUCAACCGGGGAGGGUCAUUGGAAACUGGGGAACUUGAGUGCAGAAGAGGAGAGUGGAAUUCCACGUGUAGCGGUGAAAUGCGUAGAGAUGUGGAGGAACACCAGUGGCGAAGGCGACUCUCUGGUCUGUAACUGACGCUGAGGAGCGAAAGCGUGGGGAGCGAACAGGAUUAGAUACCCUGGUAGUCCACGCCGUAAACGAUGAGUGCUAAGUGUUAGGGGGUUUCCGCCCCUUAGUGCUGCAGCUAACGCAUUAAGCACUCCGCCUGGGGAGUACGGUCGCAAGACUGAAACUCAAAGGAAUUGACGGGGGCCCGCACAAGCGGUGGAGCAUGUGGUUUAAUUCGAAGCAACGCGAAGAACCUUACCAGGUCUUGACAUCCUCUGACAAUCCUAGAGAUAGGACGUCCCCUUCGGGGGCAGAGUGACAGGUGGUGCAUGGUUGUCGUCAGCUCGUGUCGUGAGAUGUUGGGUUAAGUCCCGCAACGAGCGCAACCCUUGAUCUUAGUUGCCAGCAUUCAGUUGGGCACUCUAAGGUGACUGCCGGUGACAAACCGGAGGAAGGUGGGGAUGACGUCAAAUCAUCAUGCCCCUUAUGACCUGGGCUACACACGUGCUACAAUGGACAGAACAAAGGGCAGCGAAACCGCGAGGUUAAGCCAAUCCCACAAAUCUGUUCUCAGUUCGGAUCGCAGUCUGCAACUCGACUGCGUGAAGCUGGAAUCGCUAGUAAUCGCGGAUCAGC